rnacentral:lncRNA from 10 species
AUCUGUUCAGAAUCAUUCAGAUAUAGUCCUGCCUGAAGAAAGAGACACAGGGUCUUGCUUGGCUGCCCAGGCUGAUCUUGAAUUCCUAGCUUCAAACAAUCCUCCCACCUCAGCCUCCCAAAAUGCUGGGAUUACAGGUAUGAGCCACCACACCCAGCCUAUGAAUUUUUCUUAAGAGAAAAAUUCUACCUCUCAUGGGAUUCUCAAAAGUAUGUGACUCCCAAAAAAAUUAAGAACCACUGUUCUCACAUGAGAAAGAAAAAAAAAACUAACCCGAGAAUUCUGAGAAAUAUGAUAAUCAACCAAUAAAGUGGAAAAUUAGAAAGAUUGGCAGGGAAGUGGAGAGGGCAGAAGGCUUAUUUGUAUGUUCAUAUGAGUAAAAAAAGUUCACUAAAUCAUUGUUUCAAGAAUGACUAUGAGCAGGGAAAGCUCACAGAGAUUUUUUUCAUCACCAGCUGUCUUUUUCUUUUCUACCACACUGCACAGCCCAGCACAGCCACCGGAUCCUCACAGCAGUAUGGAACUUGGCUUUUGCUUUUGGUUCUUGACACCAUUCAUUACUGUGUCUUCAAGUGUGGAGUCACAGCAUUUAUAAAGCAUGAGGAGUGCAGAUGUUCUAAAGACACAUUUACACACACACAAACACACACAUGCAGACACACAGCCUGUUGUAAAAUGAGCUAUUACUAUUUACUCACAUCUCCCCAAAUGUACUCUUCCUAUCAAAUUAACCCAAAAUAGAAAAAACAAAACACCACUCUGAGAUAUUUUUUUACAGCUCAUUUUUAAUGAUUCAGUUUACCACCCCCGACAGCAGUAGCCCCAAAAAAGAAGAAAGUGCAUUACUGGCCAAUGUAAUGGAACUCUACCCCAGAAACAGAAAGGUCAUGAGACCAGUUUUCUGUAAAUAUUUACUCACAUUAACCUAUGUUUAAUGUGUCGAAUGCCAAAUUCUACAACUGAGUCAACAUAUGCUGACCUCUCAUUGUGUCUUUUUAUCACUUUUUCUCACAUAAAGAGUUUGGGUUUCCAAAUCUCUGCCAUUCCAUUAUAAAUACAGCUCAUUCAUGUUUUGUUAAAACACUUCAUGUUACUUCUCGGGUUCCAAUUACCCAACAGAAGGUGCAUUGAAUUUGCCUGGGAAACAGGGACAAUGUCUGAUUGUAAAAGUUUAUGGCAUUCCCUCUCUCCCCUCAGAGUAUUUUAGACAUAUAAGAAAGUUAAACCCUGGGGGAAAAUAUAAACAAGCUGCUUGGAAUAUACACACAAUUACAUAACCUAUUUGUAAAAAUUGCUACCACCAUCUUGCUAGGCAGUACAAAAAGCAAACAUCUAUCCCUACAUUACUUACACAGCUAUUCUUUUCUUCAUCUGCACCAAUGGCUAAAUGGCCUAAAUGAUAACUACAUCACAUCAUUUGGCAUAAACAUACCAAGAUUCUAAGUAUAAAAUUGUGAGAUUGCAUUCUGCUUUUAUUAAUAAGCAAGGAGGUAAAUAUUAGAUAACAUCAAUAGCCUCACAGAAAAUGACAAUACCAAAAUUCUAAGAAUACCCCAGCAAAAAUAUAUAUUUAAACAAUCUUUUUUGGUGAUUGGAAAAGACAUUUAAUUCCCUAGAAAGCAAGAGACUUCAUCAUAUAUACAUAUACAUAUACAUAUAUAUGCACACACAUAUAUAUACACAUACAAAUACACACACACGUAUCUCACACUGGAUCUUGCACCUAUAAGUACCUCAUACAUUCAACAAAAUUGAUUAUAUAAUAUGGGUGAGAGGAAAGAAUAAAGGAUUUGGACUCGAACCCAUAACCUGGAUUAGAAUUUUAUAUUUGCUACUCACCAGCUGUUUGAUUUGGGACAAAAGAUGUUACCUCUCUGAGCCUUGGUUGUUUUCCUCAAGUAUAAAUGGGGAAAAAAUGCCUUCUUGUAACAGUGUCGAGAAGACUUGCUUGUACCUAGCAUAUGGUAGGCAAUGGAUAAAUGAAAGCCGUUGGUAUUAAUCAUGUAAUUGAUCAAUUCAUUCACCAGAUGCUGAGAUCCUACUCUCUCUCUCUGGUACUGUGCCAUCAUGGAACCCUGAAUAUACUCUGAUUUAAUGCAAUGGUAUAUAUUUCAGCUCAUAUUUUUUUCUAUUGUUCAAUUUAAUUUAUACAUAUCUAUCAUCCAUAUGUAGAUUUUAUAUAUAUGUAGAAUAUAUAUAUAUAAUAUAUUAUAUAUAGUUAAUUAGUUUGUUUGUUUUUGAGACAAAGUUUCACUCCAUCAUCCAGGCUGGAGUGCAGUGGCACCAUCUCAGAUCACUGCAACCUCCACCUCCCAGGUUCAAACAAUUCUCCUGCCUUAGCCUCCUGAGUACCUGGGAUUACAGGUGUGCACCACACCUAGGUAAUUUUUGUGUUUUUAGUAAAGACGGGGUUUCACCAUGUUGGUCAGGCUGAUCUCGAACUCCUGACCUCAAGUGAUCUGCCCACCUUGGCCUCCCCGCAUGUAGGAUUACAGAUAUGAACCACCGUGCCCGGCUUAAUUUAUAUUCUUUUUAAAUUUAUCUUAUUUUAUUUAGAGACAGGCUGGACUGCAGUGGCAUGACCGUAGCUCAUUGUAACCUUGAACUCUUGGCCUCAAGCAAUCCUCCCACCUUGGAUCAUGUGUGAGCCACCCCACCUGGCCUUAGUUUAUAUUCUGUACCCUCUUUCUACCUGUUGAAGAUACCUAAUUCAGCAAGCCUAUUGCUAUUGCUUUUGUGUCAGCCAUGAAAAGAACACAAAUAGAUGGCAGAGACACCACGGUGGAAGAAACAACACACACUGCAGACACACCAACUCAGGAAGGACAGAGUCACUCUCAUUGGCUAAAUGUGUACAGUCCAGUUUGCUGAGCCAGUGCUUAUUGGCUGACUGCCUGUGAUAACAGAGCAUAGGAACAAUAUUGAUCACAGCAUAGUAUAAGAGAUUAUUAAGUAUAAUUUAUUUUAGGGAAAUAUUUCAGAGACAAAUACCAUUCUGAUGAGUCAAGCACAUAAAAUCCAUGAUAAAGAGAAUGUUUUGGAUGGGUAUGGGAGGGAGUUUCAAGGGACCCUGCCUCCUCCUGGAGGGCUGCAGUGUUGCCCUUCCAAGUUAAAACAAAAACUGCCUGGAGAAAUGCAAGGGGUCUUUGUGGGGCUCUGAAGACUUCCUGAAUCUGAAUAAAAAUGUUUCUUUAUUUGGUUAAGAAGACAAGAGUGCACAAAUCCUUGAAUCUGUCAUAGAAGGAGGGUAGUCUGAGUCUGGCGUGGCCUUCGUGUACUGUGCUGAAGAACACAGAAAUUUUUGAGAUAUUAUGCACAAAAGUAGGUUUUGGGUUACCCAAGUGCACUGUUCCUGACACUUGAAAUUGUACAUGGAGGUAGCUUAGGUGUUGCCCAAAUCAUGCAGGAAGCUUGAAGAAGAUACCUUACUCUCUUAUGCAAUGCCAAAUAUCAGACACGCACAUCUCCAAAUUUAAUAUAAAGUGCUGAGCUCUGAUAUUGAUAUAAAAUAUUAAACAUAUUUAUAAAGGUCACUUGCUGUUGGAAGUAACUGCUUGAGGAGAGGCUAAGGCUCAAGACACUUCAUGUGGGAGUGGCCAUGUACUUCAGCCAUUCUCCAUCCAAUCCACC